UAGGGAAUCUUCCACAAUGGACGCAAGUCUGAUGGAGCAACGCCGCGUGAGUGAAGAAGGGUUUCGGCUCGUAAAGCUCUGUUGUUAAAGAAGAACGUGGGUAAGAGUAACUGUUUACCCAGUGACGGUAUUUAACCAGAAAGUUCACGGCUAACUACGUGCAAG
rnacentral:rRNA from 1 species